rnacentral:rRNA from 1 species
CCUACGGGGUGCUGCAGUGAGGAAUAUUGGUCAAUGGCCGGAAGGCUGAACCAGCCAUGCCGCGUGAAGGUCAGUGCCCUAUGGGCGUUAAACUUCUUUUGUGCGGGAGCAAUAAUGGUCACGUGUGGCCAGACGAGAGUACCGUACGAAUAAGCAUCGGCUAACUCCGUGCCAGCAGCCGCGGUAAUACGGGGGAUGCAAGCGUUAUCCGGAUUUAUUUGGUUUAAAGGGUGCGUAGGCUGUGAGGUAAGUCAGCGGUGAAAUGCCCCGGCUCAACGGGGUGAAGUGCCAUUGAUACUGGCUUGCUGGAAUGCGGAAGCGGUGGGAGGAAUGUGUGGUGUAGCGGUGAAAUGCAUAGAUAUGACACAGAACACCGAUUGCGAAGGCAGCUCACGAAUCCGCGAUUGACGCUGAGGCACGAAAGCGUGGGUAUCAAACAGGAUUAGAUACCCUAGUAGUC